AAGAUGAAGCAGGGACAACGUGAUUCACAGCCUGCAUGGGGCGUCAGGGCAGGGUGAGCAGGAAGAGAGACGGUGAAAUUAUCGCCCCGGGGAGCAGCUGCAAGCUGUUUUCUCACAGGAUUCACAGAUAAGUUACUGCUUUUAGUCCUCCCUGUUGUGAAUGUUGGUUUGCUCUCCCUGCAGCAAGGAGGAUGUGGCACAUAGACAUGUGCAGCGCUGGGCACGUGCAUGAAUACCCACCACAUUACAGCCAGGAGUCUGCUCAGCUCUUCAGCAAUGGCCUGCUCAGUGGCAAGGCACUGAACUUACUUGUGUGGUGGUCAAACUCUCCAACCAGCAGUGGCAGCCCAACAACAGACAGCAGGAAUGCAGCCAGCAUCCCCCAGGAAGGCAGCAGGAGUUACUGGUGUGAACUGAGAGGAUAUGUGUAGUACAGCAGUGCCCUAGGUGUUGGGUGAGUUAUUUUUUCUCCUAUUUGCAGCCUCCAGGCAAAGCUAAGACAGAGGCAGGGCCGAAAAUAAAAAUCCCAUCCCCUGGCAGUGCUGAUCUUCAGCAUCACACAGGAACUGCUGUGCCAGGUUUCUGACAUCCUGCUUUACUGCACUGACAACUGGGCCAGCUUCUCGCCCUCAGCCUUGCUCAUCUUUCUCCCUGAGGUCAUUGGGAGAAGGAAAGAAAUAU